ACACUCCUGCGGGAGGCAGCAGUGGGGAAUAUUGGACAAUGGGCGCAAGCCUGAUCCAGUCAUGCCGCGUGAGUGAUGAAGGCCCUAGGGUUGUAAAGCUCUUUCACCGGUGAAGAUAAUGACGGUAACCGGAGAAGAAGCCCCGGCUAACUUCGUGCCAGCAGCCGCGGUAAUACGAAGGGGGCUAGCGUUGUUCGGAUUUACUGGGCGUAAAGCGCACGUAGGCGGACUAUUAAGUCAGGGGUGAAAUCCCGGGGCUCAACCCCGGAACUGCCUUUGAUACUGGUAGUCUUGAGUUCGAGAGAGGUGAGUGGAAUUCCGAGUGUAGAGGUGAAAUUCGUAGAUAUUCGGAGGAACACCAGUGGCGAAGGCGGCUCACUGGCUCGAUACUGACGCUGAGGUGCGAAAGCGUGGGGAGCAAACAGGAUUAGAAACCCGAGUAGUCCCA
rnacentral:rRNA from 1 species